GGGAUGAGAUCAAGAGAGAGAUAAAAGCUGCAAGAGGAACAACAACUCACUACUGAACCAGGAAUGUGAAAGAAAGAAAUGGGAUGGUUAGCGUUGCUCUUCUUCUUCUACCUUCUUUGUCUACCAUCAUCUUCUUCUUUAAGCGAUACCUCAGUUUCAGCUUGUGUGCAGCAACAUUUUGUAGGGAAAAAUGAGACAAUGUCAACAAAGAAAGAACCAGCUUGCUAUACAUCGGUCAGCCGGCGUGGUGGUCACAGUGGACAAGGUGGUGAAAGGAGUCACGGCCCCAUUUAAGGGGCAAUAGUGGUGAUGGUGGUAAUUUGAAUGAUGAGAGAUCAAAAUUUCCGAUAUUUGUGAUAGCUGGCGCGACCACAGCCAACAACCACCGUAAUUCCAAUUAUAACGCCGGAACUAGCAAAAGCAGCUACUACUCUGGGCUAACAAUAUGGGUGGCCGCCUUAUUGUCCUCACUUGUUUUACAGUUAAAUGGCUACGGGAUGUAAUGACUGAUUUCUUAGAUGAACAUUAGCAUUAAGAGAUUGCACAAAUUAAAAGAAGCGAAACUGUUUUCAGAUC